rnacentral:lncRNA from 1 species
CUGGGGUGCUUCCUUUGAUGAAGACAACCAACAAACAGCAAAGUAUUCUUUGUCUGCAGUGACCGAACCAAAUAAUAAUACAGCCGGACCUGUCUGAGCUCCUGGAAAAGGACGGGUCGGGUGUGGCAGAGAAAACCUCGGAUGCUGGCACAGGGACUCCAUGCAAAUCGUUCUCCUAAAUCCUCUUAUGUGACUGUCUCAUGAAGUAUGUUCACAGGCGCCCUCUAGAGUCUCAUCCUAUUGGUACCAUCGCUUUUAUUUUAGAUCGACAGGUGCCUGCAUCCCAUCCUCUCUCAGAGGUGGACACUGUGGUGGUUCCCCUCAGCCGCUACCAUCUGGGAGGCCGGCUGCAGUUGAAUUGUCUCUAUUUUAAGAGCCACCUCCGUGUCACAGGGCUGCGAGCCCCCACCCCACCCUCCUGUGAGGGGCCGGAUGGUCCGGUCUGGUCACAUCUGGGGAACGUGCUGCAUUAAGAGCUCUCUGUGUUGCAUGAUUAUCCACAGAAUUCGCCACGUAGCCUCGUGCGAUCCAAGAAACAGCAGUCCUGGCUGCAGGCCCGGCCGAAGCCGUCCCUUCAUCAGCUCUGCUUCGUUCAGGGGCUGGUCCGGGGCCUUCCUCUGAGUGCCCCUGCCGCAGCAGACUCAGUAUCUGAAAGCUCGCACGUUCGGGGACUCAGCAAAGGCCACUUUCCCCAGGUCAUCACGCAGGAGUCCCGGCGCUUCCCUGUCCCGAGACAAGGACAGCAUUGACCCCUGCGGUCCUUUGUGACCUGGGAGUGAAGGACGCAGGUCGCUGAGCUGAGCGCACAGGCUCAGGGAGACAGCGCAACAGCAGCCACUUUGCAGGCAGCCGCUCUGGUCCAAAGUGCCAGGACACAGCCAGCGAAAAGAGAAGCAGGUCCCCCACCCCCACAGGCGGAGGAAUAAGGAGCGGCUUGGACUUUGGGGCCUUUUGCAGAAAAGCUCCAGCAGCUUCCUGCUGCAGAACUCGCUGCCCUCAGGCCCAGACUUUGAACAGCAGGGACUGCCUGAAGCCCCUCCAGUGCUGGGCUCAGGGAGGCACAGAUGUCCCCCGGGUUAGGCCCUAAGCUCAGAAGAGAGCCCUGGGAGAAGACCAGGCUGGGCACAGGCCAGUUUGUGUCUUCAGUCUGCAGGUUUAAUUUGAUACAGAGACAUCUAUGGACACUUAGAGAUGACAGGGUGGGGACAGCGUGUUUCCUCGGGUCCCCAAGCGCAGUGAAGAAAACCAGCCCAUUCAAACACAAUACCAGAGAGAGGCAGAGGGGCCUGCCCAUCUCACACGCCAUGAGAGGGACCAGGGAGAAAAGCAGGGGCGAGUGUCAUCCCCAUCAAAAUCCUGGCUGGGUGUUUUCAUGUGUUGAUUUCUAAUUUUAUGUAAAAAUGCAGAAGAUGUAGAAAAGCCAGAACAGUUUUGAAAAAGAAGUUGGAAGAUGUACACAACUUGACUUCAAGAUACAAUUUGAGAUGGAUCACAGACCUCAGGGGAAAGUCAUAACCAAAAACCUUGCAAGAGGAAACAGCAGAAUAUCUUCACAGCCUUGGGACAGAAGAGAAUUCUUGGACAGAACACAAAAAGCACGAACCGUAAAAGGAAAAUUAUUCAGUUAGGCUUGAUCGAAAUUGGAGCUGUCCACCAAUCCAAACACCACUUAAAAGCUAAAAGAUAAAGCCACCAGCCAAGGCGGAGAGAAAAUAUUUGCAAAACACUUAGCUAACAAAGAACUUGCACAGACUAUAAAAAGAAUCCCCAGACAUCAACAAAAAGCCCAAUUUUUAAAAAUAGGCAAAAGCCUUGAACAGAUACUUCAGAAAAGAACCUCAGCACUUUACUGAUCAACUCGUGAAGAAGUGCUCAGUAUCUUCGAGCAACAGAGAAAAAUGCACGUUGAAAUCGCAGAGAUGUCAUUUCACAAAAAUGGUAACACUAAUGAACAGAACACAGUGGCUACAGUAAAAGUCUCGUCAUACCAAACACUGACGAGGCUGUAACUCAGCUGCAACCCCGUGCGUGGCUGCUGCGCGUCUAAAAUGUACCGGCCACUUUGAAGGUAUGUCUGGCACCUGAUUAAAUUUACGUCUUACCCUUUGACCAAACAGUUCCACUCAGGCAUUUAUCCAAGAGAAAGCGCGUUCACAAAAGAUUCAAACGUUAGCAGCCCAGUUCAUAAUAGCCCCCAGUGGGAACCAACCUAAAUGUCUAUAAACAGUGAUGCGGCUAAACAAAUGAUUGCAUGUUCCCACAGGAGAAUAUUUCUCACAACAUAGAAGAGAACAAACCACCGGUACAUGCAAUACCAUGGACACAUCUCAAAGACGGAAGCCAGACAGAGAAGAGAAUCUACAACGUAAUUCCACUUGAAAUCCAGACCAAACUAAUCUAUGGUGAUAGAAAUAAAAAGGUGGCCAGCUGGGGAGAUGGCAGGGAGACUCCCCGGAAAGUAACCCCAAGGAACUUUCUGGGGUGCUAAGAAAUGUUUGCUGUCUUUUCCCAGAUGGUAUUUACACAGGCCUAUACAAUUAUCAGACUCAUCAAACUGAACACCUAAAGUCUCUGCUACUGUAUGUUUAUUACACCUAAAUUAACCGGGAACCACCAAAGCGGCAACAAGUGGCCCCCCUCACUGUUAAAGAGGGGCUUUUUCUUCAUCACAGGGGAGGCUGGACUGGGUGGUCCUUGGGUUUCCUCCAGAGUCUCUGAAACCAGAACUGAACAUAAACUCUUGAGCUGCUGGCACUGUGGUAGGAUUGACUCUGGGAACUUCUGGGAGUUAAGGGCUUGCUCCGUGUCAAAAAGAGCUGGGUCACCAUCUCGUGGGCUGCCUCAGUCUCCCCCUUUUCCCACUCUAAACCCGUGGACAUGUUUUCUCAUUUCCUUCUGACACCCUCCACCUUACCGACCAGGAAUCCGGCUCUGGAAGGCUGGGCAGCACGCUCGGCCUCGGCCCCACGUCCAGACGUCCCGUCCCCUGCUUUUAAUUGGAGCCACACCAGCACCGGGAAUGCCCUCCCCUUGCAGUGUCUCCCAAACCCAGCCUCCAGUGCGUGCCUCCAACGAGCAAAGCCUAAGCCACAUCUGAAUCUCUGGCCGAAGUUUAUUUGGGACAGUGGGCAUUUUCAAUAUUCAGCAGUUUUUCACUUUCCAGCCUCUGCCACCUAGGAUGUCAUC